rnacentral:rRNA from 1 species
UGGGGAAUAUUGCACAAUGGGCGCAAGCCUGAUGCAGCCAUGCCGCGUGUGUGAAGAAGGCCUUCGGGUUGUAAAGCACUUUCAGCGGGGAGGAAGGCGAUAAGGUUAAUAACCUUGUCGAUUGACGUUACCCGCAGAAGAAGCACCGGCUAACUCCGUGCCAGCAGCCGCGGUAAUACGGAGGGUGCAAGCGUUAAUCGGAAUUACUGGGCGUAAAGCGCACGCAGGCGGUCUGUCAAGUCGGAUGUGAAAUCCCCGGGCUCAACCUGGGAACUGCAUUCGAAACUGGCAGGCUAGAGUCUUGUAGAGGGGGGUAGAAUUCCAGGUGUAGCGGUGAAAUGCGUAGAGAUCUGGGGGAAUACCGGUGGCGAAGGCGGCCCCCUGGACAAAGACUGACGCUCAGGUGCGAAAGCGUGGGGAGCAAACAGG